GAUGAACGCUGGCGGCGUGCCUAAUACAUGCAAGUCGAGCGAACAGACGAGGAGCUUGCUCCUCUGACGUUAGCGGCGGACGGGUGAGUAACACGUGGAUAACCUACCUAUAAGACUGGGAUAACUUCGGGAAACCGGAGCUAAUACCGGAUAAUAUAUUGAACCGCAUGGUUCAAUAGUGAAAGACGGUUUUGCUGUCACUUAUAGAUGGAUCCGCGCCGCAUUAGCUAGUUGGUAAGAUAACGGCUUACCAAGGCGACGAUGCGUAGCCGACCUGAGAGGGUGAUCGGCCACACUGGAACUGAGACACGGUCCAGACUCCUACGGGAGGCAGCAGUAGGGAAUCUUCCGCAAUGGGCGAAAGCCUGACGGAGCAACGCCGCGUGAGUGAUGAAGGUCUUCGGAUCGUAAAACUCUGUUAUUAGGGAAGAACAAAUGUGUAAGUAACUAUGCACGUCUUGACGGUACCUAAUCAGAAAGCCACGGCUAACUACGUG
rnacentral:rRNA from 1 species